rnacentral:tRNA from 1 species
GGAUGUAUAGCUCAGUGGUAGAGGGCAUGCUUAGUGUGCAUGAGGUCCUGGGUUCAAUCCCAGUACCUCCG